AACUUCCGCCGUAGCCGCCGCCGGAACUUCCGCCGCCGCGCCCGCCGCCGUAGCCGCCGCCGCCGGAACUACCAGGAAUGAGAGGCAUGCUCGGUUAGCUUGAACGUUGGGAACUGGUGGGUCGCUUUCCACGUUAUUGUUACUUUGAAAGUAAGCAAAACGUGUUUCGAGAGGAAAAAAGAGAAAAGAAAAGGAAAAAUACCCUGCCAAGUAUAGAUUCUAAAACCCAUUGCUAACGCCGGUCUGAUAAGCACACAACCCUAGGAAUCCCAGUUCAUGGGCAGUUGAAGCUGUGGUUGCACACGCCUUUUUUUCUGUGCUCUGCUUUGGCAGCGCUUCUUGGGGUUUUGGAAAAGCCUGGAGAUUUAGGGCAUUGCAUAAAACCAGCUGGGAGAGCUGAUAGUUCACCUUCCUUCUCCUUCUAGCAGGCUGCGGUAGGUUUGAAUUUCAUUCUCCAAUCGGAUCUUGAUAUCCAGGAGUUGUUGGUACUCGGCAUUCUGGCACUCCGUCUCAGCUCGGAUCUGUUGCAGUUGUUCCUCCAGAGAGGAGAUCUGGGCCUGAAUCUGUGAGAGCUGCACGCAGUAGCGACCUUCUGUUUCUGCCAAGGAGCCUUCCAGGGAUUGUUUCUGCAAAGAGCCGAGAAUAUAGGGUGGCUGCGUGACUUCACUGUGUGACUGAAUACACUGAAGGUUAUUUCCUGAUUUAAUAAGACAUCAGAAGAUUAAAGAAAAUGAAUAGGAUUUGUGUUUUGUGUAUUUUUGAAAAAGGUUUUAUUGGCACAUGAGAGACACAGAGACACAGGCAGAGGGAGAAGCAGGCUCUUGGAGGAGAGCCCAAUGCGAAAUUUGAUCCUAAGACCCUGGGACCAGGACCUGAGCCCAAAUGCAGACGCUUAACCACUGAGCCACCCAGGAUCCCAGGAUGUCUCAGGACAGCAAUAUCUUGGGCCAAGAAAAUCACCAGGUUGGGGGAGUGUGACAAACUUCCCGUUUUGAGGGUUUCUUUAUGUUAUAUGCCUGAUUUUCAGAAUCCCUAGGGCAAUAUCUGCUCUCUUGAGAAUUGAUCUCUUUUUACUUUUCACCAGUGGCAUUUAAUGAGUAGUAAGCUACUGAGUGAGGAUUCAGUCUCCCAGGAAACGUGUGAAAUUAGAACACUUACCUUUCUCCUCUUCAAUGUGUAUCUGAUCAUCUGGAAUUGUGAUUUUGCAUCUUUUAAAGAAAAGAAAAAGAAACAUGAAAAGAUGUUAUUGCCAUUUUGAAAAUGAAGGCCUGUUCUGCUUUUUUUUUGUUUCAAAAUAAAGUCUGCAUAGUGUG